rnacentral:rRNA from 1 species
GACGAACGCUGGCGGCGUGCUUAACACAUGCAAGUCGAGCGGUAAGGCCCUUUCGGGGGUACGACGAGCGGCGAACGGGUGAGUAACACGUGGGUGACCUGCCCUCAGCUCUGGGAUAAGCCCGGGAAACUGGGUCUAAUACUGGAUAUGACUCCAUGACGCAUGUUGUGGGGGUGGGAAAAGCCUUGUGCGGCUGAGGAUGGGCCCGCGGCCUAUCAGCUUGUUGGGGGGGUGA